UACGUAGGGUGCGAGCGUUGUCCGGAAUUAUUAGGCGUAAAGAGCUUGUAGGCGGUCUGUCGCGUCUGCUGUGAAAAUCCGGGGCUCAACCCCGGACUUGCAGUGGGUACGGGCAGACUAGAGUGUGGUAGGGGAGACUGGAAUUCCUGGUGUAGCGGUGAAAUGCGCAGAUAUCAGGAGGAACACCGAUGGCGAAGGCAGGUCUCUGGGCCACUACUGACGCUGAGAAGCGAAAGCAUGGGGAGCGAACAGG
rnacentral:rRNA from 1 species